rnacentral:rRNA from 1 species
AUUGAACGCUGGCGGCAGGCCUAACACAUGCAAGUCGAGCGGGGUUUUCGGACCUAGCGGCGGACGGGUGAGUAAUGCGUAGGAAGCUACCCGAUAGAGGGGGAUACCAGUUGGAAACGCCUGUUAAUACCGCAUAGUGUCUACGGACCAAAGUGUGGGACCUUCGGGCCACAUGCUAUCGGAUGCGCCUACGUGGGAUUAGCUAGUUGGCGGGGUAACGGCCCACCAAGGCGACGAUCCGUAGCUGGUCUGAGAGGACGAUCAGCCACACUGGGACUGAGACACGGCCCAGACUCCUACGGGAGGCAGCAGUGGGGAAUCUUGCGCAAUGGGCGAAAGCCUGACGCAGCGACGCCGCGUGAGGGAAGACGGCCUUCGGGUUGUAAACCUCUUUCAGGAGGGACGAAGCUACUCGGGUGAAUAGCCCAGAGGGUGACGGUACCUCCAGAAGAAGCCCCGGCUAACUACGUGCCAGCCGCCGCCGUAAGAC